GAAGUACGCUGAGGUGCGUGUCUGUGCGUCCGUCCCGGUGCGUGUCAGUCGGCAAAGUGUCCGCUGAGGAGCUCCGCUGUGACUUCGCAGGUGCUUCUUGUCUGGUGUUGUUUUGAAUGCUGUGUGAUGAAGCCAGAAAAUGACUCAUCACAACCCACAAACUCUUUCUACAAGGGCUCAGAUUCUCCACCUUCAUCUCUCCUCCGCUGCCUCUUGUGUGUUCGUGCAUGUGGGCGUGACUGCGGGGGAGUGCACGUGCCAGCUUGUGGCUCACAUUCAUGAUCCUGGUCGUGCUUUAGGAAAGAUGACACGGACAUGCUUUUGUCUUCGUGCCACCGGAAUGAACUGACAGGGGAGAAGAAGAAUGAACGCAGGAUGCAGGUUGGAGUAAAAAGAAAAAUGCCUGUGACUGUCAGGAGGAAAAGAUGGAAAACAGAAAAUGGAAUGAACAUUAUUUCAGUUUUAGUUAUACUCUGGAUAAACACCUGACUGUGAACUAAUGUAGGGCAGAGCUAAUGAGCUGUUGUCCAAGAAAUUACCUUCAAAGUUAAAUAAAAAAUAUUUUACGCUCUUUUUGAAGGAAUACGUCAACAUUUUGGGGAAACACUAGAACACACUGUAAGAUGUCUUUUUGGGAGUUGGAGGAAAAGAUUGUUACCACUUUCCUGUUUGUGAGUUAAGAAUAAAGCUGGUGCUGGGAGGUGAUUAGCCUAGCUUAGCAUAAAGAUAAGGUGAAAGCGCUAAUCUGGCUCUAACUAAUGUGCAAAAAUACCCCUUUGAAUAUAUUACCGCCGCCAAGGAGGUUGUGUUUUCAUCCUUCUGCAUUUGUUGGUUGGCUGGUUUGUCAGCAGGAUUAAACAAAAAACUGCUGAACAGAUAUUCUACAAACUUUAAAGGAGGAUGGGUCUCAGCCCAGAGCCCAUUAAAUUUUGUUGCGGAUCCUGAAAAAGACACAUUUUUUCUCACUUUGUUUUGCUAGUUUUUCCCCUCAAUCAAUCUUUUUUUCUUCCUCUUCUUACUUCAAGUAUUGCGUGAUUGGAAUUCCACUCAGACACAGGUAAGCUGAACCCACCCAGUUCUAGUUUCACCCGAAAACAUUUAAGGAAUGAACACCGCAGCUAUUUUUUUUUUUUUUGUUUUUCAUCUAGAUGUUUGUUAAAUGUGGAUGAAGAAGAAUGACAUUCAGAUAAAAGACCAGAUGAUGCUGAGCUAGAUGUUGAGAACUAAACGGUGCCAGAGGAAGAAUUACUGAGAGCCAUAACGCCAUAACACACUGAAUCUUCCUGUUCACGCCAUCUCGCUGCUCUGAAUACCUAAGAUGCUGUGUGUGUGUGUGUGUGUGUGUGUGUGUGUGUGUGUGUGUGUGUGUGUGUGUGUGUGUGUGUGUGUGUGUGUAAAUGUAGUCCCUUGCUGACACAGCACUUCUUCAGGAACUUGGGAUUGUGUGUGUGUGCGUACGUAUGUGUGUGCCCUGGCCUCUGCUCCCUGCAGAUAUGCUUCCUUUCAGAGAGACUGUAGAAAUAAGCAGCGAGGACCUUAGACUGUGUGUGUGUGUGUGUGUGUGUGUGUGUGUGUGUGUGUGUGUGUGUGUGUGUGUGUGUGUGUGUGUGUGAGUGUGAGAGAGAGAGAGUUGAAUUUCUUUAGAAAGACUUUUCAGCCCCAUCAAGCAUCUCUGGUACACUGAAAACGAUGUAUUUCUCCAACUUGUGAUGACAUUUAAAGUGGAAUUAUUUGACGUGAAGCGUCUCUUGUAAA